rnacentral:rRNA from 1 species
GGGUCAUUAGGUUGGUCGUGCCACCGGUACGUACUGGUCUCACUGAUUCCUCCUUCCUGAAGAACCGUGAUGCCAUUAAUUUGGUGUUGCGGGGAAACAGGACUGUUACUUUGAGAAAAUUAGAGUGUUUAAAGCAAGCUAACGCUUGAAUACAUUAGCAUGGAAUAAUGGAAUAGGACGAUCGAUCCUAUUUUGUUGGUUUCUAGGAUUGACGUA